AUACGGAGGGGACUAGCGUUGUUCGGAAUUACUGGGCGUAAAGCGUACGUAGGCGGAUCAGAAAGUAUGGGGUGAAAUCCCAGGGCUCAACCCUGGAACUGCCUCAUAAACUCCUGGUCUUGAGUUCGAGAGAGGUGAGUGGAAUUCCGAGUGUAGAGGUGAAAUUCGUAGAUAUUCGGAGGAACACCAGUGGCGAAGGCGGCUCACUGGCUCGGUACUGACGCUGAGGUACGAAAGUGUGGGGAGCAAACAGGAUUAGAAACCCUAGUAGUCC
rnacentral:rRNA from 1 species